CCCCAUAGUUCCUAGUCGGAUUCAUUAACCACUGAGCCACAAUGGGAACUCCUCCAUGUUUUUUUAAAUUAAAAAAUGUCUUCAUUACUGAAAAAUGCUCUCCAGCAUCUGAGCCUUCAGAGAUCUACAAUCUUUAUGCAAUAGUAACUUUAAAGACCACUGAUCACCAUUAAAAUACCAUCACAAUAAAAAGGCUUGAAAUAUUGUGAGAAUUACCAAAAUGUGACACAAAGUUAACAAAUGCUGUUAGAAAAGGGUGCUGAUAGACUUGCUCAAUGCAGGGUUGCCCCAAACAUUCAAUUUGUGGGGAAAAAAAAAAAAAAAAAAAGCAGUAUCUGUGAAGUGCCAUAAAGCAAAGCACAAUAAACCAAGGUGUGCCUAUAAUUAAAGCCCCUGUGUGUUUUGUGUCUUACUUACACUUGUUUUCAGAUUUAAAACAAAGUUCUUUCUCAAUGUUUUGUCAAAUAGAUCCCAUGGGACCACCAUGUUUGCAAGUUUGUUUAUUCCCCCCCCCCCCCAGAAGAGCUCUUCACAAGCAUGGGCACAAAAUAGCACUUUUGUGUGUGUGUGACUCGCUUAAAAAUACAUCAUGAGAGAAUUUUCAAACACAUAUUGUGAGUUUACCCCUCCUGGCACUCAUGAUGUCUCUUAUUAUCAGCACAUCCAAAAUAUUAUUGUCCUACACAUGGCUGGAUGAUUCUUUAACAAUGAUUAAACUUUACCACAGACUAUCAUUGCCUAGCCUCAUUGAUUACUGAGAAGGUUUUAUUAAUUAUUAUUUUACAUUAUCUCUACUGGGUUUUCUUCUCCCUGUAAACAGGCUUUAGUCUUCACUAGCUCUUUAAAAGCGCCGUUAUCAAGCCAAUUUAUAAUGACUAUCCUUUGCCAAACCUAGUCUUGUUUCUCCCCAUACUUUCAAUAGACGCUACUUCAGUAAGCCUGCCUCAGAACCACCUGGGGGCUUGUAGGAACAUGGGCUGCAGGGUGCCACCCCCACAGUACCUGAUUGGUAGGUUUGGAGUGGGCUGAAAAUUUGCAUUUCCUAACAGGUUCCCAGAUGAUGCUAAUACUGCUGAUCCAGACCUCACUUUGAGACUCGGCUUCUACUUGCCCUGUUUGCCGGUCUUCACAGCUAGAGCCGCUUAACUCACACGUGAUUCUGUCCCAGGCACAUAAGAAGGAAUAGAGGCCUUUUAUUGGUUCCGUAUGGCGUAACUUUACGGCAGAUUUUACGUGGGUAGCAGAACUGAGGAUCUGCUGAGUUUUCCGUCUCCUUUACGUCUUCCCUUCUUGGAUUCCCUGCUGAGCAGGCUGUUUCCUCUGGGACUAGCACACUUUGAUUUCACUUGCUCAGUUCCUCUGGAAGCUGAAGUUGAGUGGACCCUUCAACCCAGGCUCCAUCUCCUUCAUGCUCUGAAACUCAGUGCUGGCUUGGUCUUUAUCCUCUGUGAAUGGUAAGAUCAAGUAACUUGGUUAGAAGGUGCUAAUGCCACCUGCAUGCAUAACCUGGAUCCAAGGUGUGAUAACAGAACCAGAAGUUCCGUGAACUUAGUGUACUGUCAAGAGUUAUUGAAAUGAGAAUGGAAUGCAAGCCCCAAGAAGAAAGCUGAUGGAUUUGGACCUUGUUAAUAGUUUCUGAGUGCCUGCUACCUGCCACCAUAGAACACAAGUACGACAUUGCCUCUGACCAGGAUCUCAUUAGAGAGAAAGAGACACAACUAACAAAAUAAUGAACUACCACACAGAAUGGUGAAUACUGAUAAAGGUCUAUACGGAGUUCUCUUCAGGAAGAGGACCUGCAUCUCUACUAGACUUGGUGGCUGGGGACAGUGGAGUCUUCCAGAAACUACCUGAUGUAAGAUAUCUCAACAGGGUGAAUGCAGAGGUGGAUAUUAAAAUGAACAACUUCUUCUAAACCAGAUAAUAAAGAGAUUUGCAAAAGGCUGAAGGUGUUGAUCUAAGAGGGUCUGAAGGUACUGGUGGAUUUGCACUUCAUUUUUUAUUUGAGAUGGUAUCUCAAUGACACCAAAAUGGAAGAACCAUUUCACUUUCUACAGUGGCAAGCUGGUGGCUCUAUUCCACAUUGUCAUUGUCCUCACACUGAAACCCAGGAUGCCCAGGACUUGGCACCCACUCCAUUAAUGCAUGUUGCAGGGGAAGAAAAGAUGCAGCAAAACAUGUGCUAACCAUUAAACCUUCUGCCUAGAGGGAUAGACUUCUAGAAAGCCAGAAGACUAGUCUUUUUAAAGAGAAGGGAAAGCCAAUGAGAGAAAAAAAAAUGGAGUAGAAAGAAGAGUCUGGAGGGUCAUUCACUUGACUUGAGGAAUAUGUGAAACAAGAUCAGAUCAAGAUGGUGGAGGAGUAGGAUGUGGAACUCACCAUCUCCCACAAAUACUUUAAAAAUAAAUCUGCAUGUAGAAUGAUUUGCACAGGACAUCUACCGAUCACUGGCAGGUCUUCCCAAAGGGCAAGAAAAUCUCCACACAAAUGGGAACAAACACCAAAGACUUCUACUUUCUGCUCUCUGCCAUGUGAGGAUAACAAGGAGAGGACAAACAUUGCAAACCAGGAAGCAGGUUCUCAGCAGACACCAGAUUUGCCAGCACCUUGAUUUUGGACUUCCCAGUUUCCAUAACUAUGAGAUAUAAAUGUAUGUUGUUUAAACACCCAACUGUGGUACAUUUGUUAUCAUAGCCUGAACUGCCUAAGACAAGAUAGAAUCAUUUACUUCUG